rnacentral:rRNA from 1 species
CAGCAGCCGCGGGAAAACGUAGGUGGCAAGCGUUGUCCGGAAUUAUUGGGCGUAAAGCGCGCGCAGGCGGAUCAGUCAGUCUGUCUUAAAAGUUCGGGGCUUAACCCCGUGAUGGGAUGGAAACUGCUGAUCUAGAGUAUCGGAGAGGAAAGUGGAAUUCCUAGUGUAGCGGUGAAAUGCGUAGAUAUUAGGAAGAACACCAGUGGCGAAGGCGACUUUCUGGACGAAAACUGACGCUGAGGCGCGAAAGCCAGGGGAGCGAACGGGAUUAGAUACCCCUGUAGUCCCUGUCUCUUAUACA